rnacentral:piRNA from 1 species
UCCAGAACUUGCUGGCUAGCUUAGAG